CAAGUCUAAGAGCUGCAUAGGAUUGUCUGCAGAUAUACUCCAACUUCUUUCCUUCAGAUUAUGCAUUCAAAUAAGACAGGCACAUAUGAGGUGCUGUAUCAUUGUGACUGAAACCUAAUUGACUUCCACAGUAAAUACUAAAGGAAGGGGGCAGAUGUGACUACUUGUCCAUUCAGCACGACAUGAAAUGGCCAACGCCCGUGUGUAAUGAGGGAAAACCCUGAGCUUCAACUCCUGUUUUAUGGGGAGAAGGAAGUGAAUCCUCAAGUGGCUGUUGACAAGGCUGUGGCGAAAUGCGUGCGCCAAGUGAGAAGUAGAAGUAAAAAGCCCCAUACCAAGUCGUUAAGCCUCAAGCCUGAUGAAUUAUUCAUUUAAUGGUUUCGAAGUUGGACUUGGAAAAAUGUAAAUAAAACACACGGAGAACUUUCUCCUUUCUGGAAACGAUUUUAUAGUCAUGAACUAAAUGCAAAGAGCACUUAAAGUGUCUAACUGCAUUGUGUAUUUUAUGUAAAUUAAGAAUAUUGAACAAAUUCCUCAUUUGGUACAAAAGGGAGAAAGAAAAUCUCCCUCUCCUGAUGAUCAAUGCCUCUGAGAAAAUGAAUUAUCUUUAUUUUCUCCAUUAUCUUUUAUUGCCAUUUUAUAUACUCUAUAAAAUAUCGACCUGCAAGGUAUUCAAA